rnacentral:tRNA from 1 species
CAAUAUAAAGCUAAAAAGUUUUUUAUUUACAUUAAAAAGAAUAUUAUUAAAUUAAUAUAUAUUGA